rnacentral:rRNA from 1 species
GAUGAACGCUAGCGGCAGGCUUAAUACAUGCAAGUCGAGGGGUAUAGUUCUUCGGAGCUAGAGACCGGCGCACGGGUGCGUAACGCGUAUGCAAUCUACCUUUUGCAGGGGGAUAGCCCAGAGAAAUUUGGAUUAAUACCUCAUGGUAUGUGAGAAUGGCAUCAUUUUCACAUUAAAGUCACAACGGCAAAAGAUGAGCAUGCGUCCCAUUAGCUAGUUGGUAAGGUAACGGCUUACCAAGGCAACGAUGGGUAGGGGUCCUGAGAGGGAGAUCCCCCACACUGGUACUGAGACACGGACCAGACUCCUACGGGAGGCAGCAGUGAGGAAUAUUGGACAAUGGGCGCAAGCCUGAUCCAGCCAUGCCGCGUGCAGGAUGACGGUCCUAUGGAUUGUAAACUGCUUUUGUACAGGAAGAAACGCUGGUUCGUGAACCAGCUUGACGGUACUGUAAGAAUAAGGAUCGGCUAACUCCGUGCCAGCAGCCGCGGUAUAC